rnacentral:piRNA from 1 species
AAAAAAGGACAGUCGGAAGAAAUU